rnacentral:rRNA from 1 species
AGUGACCCAGAUUGACACCUCUAACCAGAUCCCUUCAGAACUCCGCAGUUAAGCGUGCUUGGGCGAGAGUAGUACUAGGAUGGGUGACCUCCUGGGAAGUCCUCGUGUUGCAC